rnacentral:misc_RNA from 1 species
AAGUCGUAACAAGGUUUCCGUAGGUGAACCUGCGGAAGGAUCAUUACCAAAGAACAACUGGUUGGGUUGUUGCUGGCCCCCUCUCCCUGGAAGGGGCACUGUGCACGCCUUGCCAAUUCACUUUGCUCACCUGUGCACCUCCUUGUAGGCCAGGAUCACCAGAGAGGAAGAAGGGCGGGGGGGAAACGUGUCUCCUGUCGGAGUGCUCAACUUCUUUUCUUUUGCUUGGUGGAGGGAUCUGCUGUUGUGUCCUCACACGGAAUGGGUAUCUGUGAGAGAACAGAUAUAGACGGCUUUUUCCUUGCUCACGUCUGGCCUAUGCCUUUAUUAAACCUGUAACAUCUGUAUCUGUAUGUGUAUUUGAACAUGUGGGAUAACCACGAUUGUUUUUGAACACCAAUACAACUUUCAACAACGGAUCUCUUGGCUCUC